rnacentral:lncRNA from 1 species
AUGCGGGACUCGAUCCUGGGACCCCAGGAUCACGGAGGCAGGCCCCAGGAGCUGAAGGCAGACCAUCAACCACGGAGCCACCCAGAGGCCUCCUCUAGGGCGGGACUGAGAAAAGUUCUGCACCCAUUGGCCAGGGUCAAGGUGAAGUCGGAUGUGAGAGGUUCCCCAGAGAAAGUGGGCUUGGUGGUGCAGCUUGUGAGCAUCCCAGAGAUGAGGAAGGGCCGGGGUGCCCGGUGCCCCGUGCCCCCCGCCCCCCUGCCGCCGCCUCUCCCACGGUGCCCUCCACUCAGCGCCUCCCGCUCCGGCCCGGCGCCGCCCGCGCCCAUCUCCCUAGCCCAGCCCGUCACUGCGCAGGGGCCGACUGGGAGGCGCCCCGAGGACCCGGGACCCGGGACCCACCCCACACCCCAGACCGCGGAAGGCCGGGAGCCCGGGACCGGCCCCUACUUCCCGGUUGCAACAGCCGGGCAGCGAGUGUUGCCAGCCGAGGGCGUCGUGCGGCCGCCGCUCCGGGUCGGGGUCGGGGUCGGGGUCGGGGUCGGGGCUGGGGGACCAGAGGCACCGCGCACGUUGGGCGGCGGGAGGCCGGCGCCUGGAAGGGAGAGGGCCCCGUGCGCCCCAGCGCCAGCACCCGCGCCCCCAAACCCGCCACGCAGCCUCUCCCGGCCGGGCCGGCCUCCCGCGGGUCACCGCUGGCGCGCACAGCUGCAAGCCCGCGGCAGGCGCCCCCCCGGCCCCGCCCCCCCCCCCCCCCCGGCCGCCUCCCGCGCUCCCGGACGCCCGCACGCUCGCCUCGAGCGCAGAGCAGGCCGGUGCCCUGGAGUCGCGGGGCGGGGACGCGGCCGGAGCGCGGGGCACCUGGGGCGCUCGGUGGGGAGCCCCGGGCCUCCCCCCCGCCGCCGGGACGCGGAGCCGAGCACCGCGGGGACCGGGGAGCCCGAGGGGUGGCGGCGCCCGGACGCGCGGCGGCGAGUGGGAGCCAAGGAGCCAAAGUCUAAUUGA